UACAGAGGGUGCAAGCGUUAAUCGGAAUUACUGGGCGUAAAGCGUGCGUAGACGGUUGCGUAAGUCAGAUGUGAAAGCCCCGGGCUCAACCUGGGAAUUGCAUUUGAGACUGCGUAGCUAGGGUGCGGAAGAGGGAAGCGGAAUUUCCGGUGUAGCGGUGAAAUGCGUAGAUAUCGGAAGGAACACCGGUGGCGAAGGCGGUUCUCUGGGCCUUACCUGACGCUGAGGAGCGAAAGCGUGGGGAGCAAACAGG
rnacentral:rRNA from 1 species